rnacentral:rRNA from 1 species
CACCAGGUUGAUUCUGCCUGACGUAGAUGCUAGUUUCUAAGAUUAAGCCAUGCAUGUUUGUGUAACAAGGACGAAUAGCUCAGUAGAACUGCGAUGAUUUAGUCUGUCUGUGUUAAGAUAACUACGUGAAAAUGUAGCUAAGAGAGGACAGAAUAAGACGCAGGACUAUCAGUUAGUUGGUAGUGUAAUGGACUACCAAGACGAUGACGGUUGACGGGGAAUUAGGGUUUUAUACCGGAGAGGGAGCCUGAGAGAUUGCUCCCACGUCCAAGGACGGCAGCAGGCGCGAAAAUUGCCCACUGUUUGUAGGAGGCAGUUAUGAAACGUGAAGAUGAAUGCUUUGUAAAGAUGAGCAGGAAGAAUUGGAGGGCAAGUUUGGUGCCAGCAGCCGCGG